GUGGGGGGGGGUUGGUGGGGGAGUUAGGGUUUAGUGGGGGACAAUUUCAGUUCAGAAAGAGGAGAAAGUUCUGGAGAUGGAUGGCGGUGGCUGCACAACCGUGUGAAUGUCCCGAAUGCCACUGAACUGGACACUUAAAAACGAUUAAACUGGUAAACUUAAUGGUAUGUAUAGUUUACCUUAAUUUUAAACCAUCCUUUAAAAACUUAAAAGGAGACUGUUUUCAACUCUCAAAUCCAAAGGAGGUUGAGUCAUGGGACCAGCCAGGAAUCCGCCCCCUGAGGACGCAAGUCUGGGGAUCACAGGAAAGUCCCAACUCGGAAGCAAGGCCUUUUAGGAUCACCCCGUGUUCUCCCAACUUUUAGCUGCAAACCCAGGAUUCCAACAGCCUCCAGCAGGCACCGGGCACAUAAACUAGAGAGUCCAGGCCCUGCUGCGGGGAGUGGGGGCCUCUCUGUGAACCCCGCCCCCACCCUAAGCAGCCUUUAAAGGGCUGAUCUGGGCCCCCAUUUUCCAGAUGGGGAGACUGAGGCCCGGGGAGGGACAUGACCUGCCCCAGGUGCAUGGACCGGCAUGUGGGUCUCCUAGCUCUGCUCCAGGUGGCCUCAGGGCCUGCGGCAAAGUGACAGGAGCUCCCGGAGUAUGAAAGGAGAGUCCAAGUCGGAGGUGCCGUGGCCGAGAGGAAGGGCCUGGGUUCUCGCUGUGGCUCCCAGGCUCAGGGGACGUCCCCUGUGCAUCACAGAGCCCAGCGUGGAUGGUCGCAGUUGCUACGAAGAGCCUGGCUGUGUCACUUGUUCGGCUGCGCGGCCCCGAGUCCAGCUGUGGCCUCGGGGGAAAAAAAAGUGGGGGGGGGAUGUUCCCGGGGAGUCCCUCAGGCCCUCGCUCGCCUCAGCCCCACUCUUGUCAGCACAGAACGGGGUGAGAAAGGCAGACGGACGGGGAGAUGGAGGGAUGGCUGAGAGCAACUGCAGGGGGUGGGGGUAAGGAAAACCUCUGCAGACUCCUCGGGGGCAGCCUGGCACCACCGCCAAGUGGCUCCCGAUGGCCUCAGGGCACCGAGGAAAGCCCUUUGCAGAGCCAAACGUGUGCUGGGCGUUUGGGAACGUCCGCCUCCAAAAUGGCCACAGCAGCCACAAUGCUAAAGCGGUCAGCGUUCAAGCCCCAGGAACUUUAUCCCCAAGAAUAAAGCCGUUUCUCAAGAGUCGCCUAAAGCAAGAUCAUGUCUAGGCCUACGGUCUCAGCCGGGCAGACUCGGAACUCAGGAUUCAUUGGUUUGGGAACAGACUUCUAAUGAUUAGUAUCACCACAUUUUGAAAAAACAGCCCACACACUGGCAGUCGCCCCCACCAUCCUGGGCAUGCCGAUAUAGCCGGGCUCACUUUUAUUCCUGGGGAACCUGUCCCCCCCCGCCCCCCCGUCGCCCGUUCCCCCAUCUUCCUGGCCUUGGCGGGGCCCAUGUGGGGCAUGGCGGAAGCUGUAUUUGCAGGGCUGGGGCUGGGCCCCUCAAGUCCCACCCACUUGCCUGAAGGUAAGUGCCCAGACCCUCUCUUCCUACUCUCACCCCACCUCGUGGGGCAUGCGUACUGAUGGCUUUGUCUCUAGGCAACUCCCCAGCAUCACCUCCCAAUAGUGCAGAGAGGGCACAAGGCCGGUGCGUGCUGUCCCCGAGUGCCUGGUGGGCAGAGCUACCGUCUCCUGAGCCCUCAGAACCAGCCUCCUGGAUGUCGACCCUCCCAGGCAGCCACGGACACACCAGCACAAUUAAUAUUCCUGCUCCUUUUCUAUGAAGGUGGUAAAGUUAAUUGCGACUGAUUAAAAGCUUGUUUUCUGGUUGCUGCUGCUGGUGUGUGUGUGUGUGUGUGUGUGUGUAGGGAGAGGGAGAGAGAGAGAGAGAGAGAGAGAGAGAGAGAGAGAGAGAGAGGAUCUUAAGAUCGCUCCUCUCCACAGGGGUAAGGGUAGAUGAUUUCUGUGUAUUUCUUCUGGAGAGAAAAAAUGACGAAAAAAACCGGUGACAGAAACCUGAUGCUAAAAGACUAUGGAUUUGGGGCUUUUGACAGUCAGCAUACA